UCAUGUCAUAAAACUGGCCGGUUACUAAAAAUAACAAUUUAAAACCUAAAGAACUUGGCGGUGUCUUAUCAUACCAGGGGAACCUGUUCCUUAAUUCGAUAAUCCACGAAACCACUACCACUAAUUGAAUAUACAGCUUGUAUACUGCCGUCAUCAGCAUACCUUAAAAAGAUAUAGUAUGCAAUAAUAAUAAUAAAUUAAUUAUGUCAGGUCAUAGUACAGCCUAUUUAGUGGAGGAAAUGGGUUACAAUCAUUUAUCUAGAUACCAAAAAUAAAACAAAAGUUUUAUCAAAAGGUGGACUUGGCAGUAAUGAUCGUAUAGAAUACAAUCAUGAAAAAAGAUCUAAGACAUGCACACAUCGCCCGUCACUCCCCUCUAAAGAGG
rnacentral:rRNA from 1 species